UUAUUAGCAAAUCAUUUUAAUUCCGAAGCUGUCGAGAAUAUUUGCUUUCACUUGGCCGCGCGGGGCUGGGAUUGAUAAGAGAGAAACAAUUCUUGUCACUCUCUCCUUGUGGGUUGGGAAACAGGGUCACUGAGUCCUGGGUUCGGCUUUCAUAGCCUCUGGGCGUAGUCCACAAGCGCACCCAGAGGCGAAGCACUCGUUGCACUUAGUGGGUCUGCAGGCGCUCCCUCCCAUCACUUGGUGCUGUGUUCGGAAACCAGAAUUGAAACGCGUGGAACAAGCUGCAGGAAAGUCUGACGUCUGGGACAGAGGUGGCUACUCCAUCUCCGGCGUUGGCGGUCCCUCAGAUAAACCCUCAUUGUCUUCUUUUAAUUUGCCCCUGAAGUUCAUUUUUUCAGCGGCUGGUCUUUAAAAUGCUUCCAUGCAUCGGAUAGUCUUCUUUUUUUCUACUUUAUUUCUCUUUUGAGUUCCUCUACUUCCUCUAUUUUUAUCAAUGAUAUAAUUUUAUUUUGGGUAAGGAUUAUUUUUCCCCCCAGAAAUGGGGAAAAUAAUCAAAUCUCCAAUCGGUUGUUUCUUCGAACUUAAGCCUGCGUUUAUUCAUGGAUCAGAAAAUAUUUAAACCGUUAUAAACUUUAUUCAUCACUGGUCAACUUUAGAGCUAUUUCUUGUUUUUUAAAAUGGAGAUGUAACCUUGGUGUGUGUCUUAUUAUAGAUAGAUCAUGUUAAUCUUCCAUCCACGGAAAAAAGAGCAUUUACGUGUGUGAAUCUGAGUAAUUAUUCAUGUAGGGUAACUGAUUCUACCAGGCUUGAUUUUGCAUUUUCAGACAUACUUCUUUGUAUCUAGUUUGGAGGGACAUUAACAACAUUAAAAAAAGAUCUUCUGGUGUAGUGGAGGGACCUUGCUGACGUCCAACAACAGAGGAACACUCUUCUUUUUUUUUCUUUUUUUCUUUUUUGUUCUGGGUCAGCAGUCUCGUUCAGUUCUUUAUUUUAGCCUCCUGAGCCCAAGCUGUACACUCCACGUAAACCGGAGCGGUGUGGUUGGUUCUGCGACGGCUGCGUCCCGCGCGCGAUCUGACUCGCAGCGCUGGGGCAUGAGGAAGCGCAAACUGUCAUUUCUCGAGGAAAGAAAUCCCGCGUCAACGCUCGCCUGGGAAGAAUCCGGGAAAGCCGAGAAUUCCCGCGAGCUGCAGCCCACUAAGCAUCCUAGAUCGCAAGAAUCACUGUCCUUCAGAUUUUUGACAAACUGAUGUUUUGCUUUAUUUUAAAAUCUUAUCGUUUAGUUAUUGUUGCUGCUGGGAACGCGAGCCUUUAUGACGAAGACCUGCCUGGCCUUCCUGGGCAGAGCAGAAGCACAGCCAGAGUUGGGGUGAUCAGCGGCUCUGUGGGUGACCACUAACUUCUCAGCGUGUCCUCCAGCUUGCAACACCUUCCCGCGAGGCUCUUCCCAACGCCAAGAGUACAGACAUGAAAGUCGGAAGGCAUCAAGUUUCAGCUCCCUGAGUGAUGGAAGAUCAUUCGGCCACGAGGACCUUCGAAGUUGGCCCCGUCUACAGCUUGUAAUGAAAAGGAUAAUCUGUCUUGUAAUGAAAAACAGGACCCACACAAACAAACCCAGCAUCCAACCGCCUUCUACCGCGCCUCACUCUUCCCUAAUAAGGGCCAGUGACAAAUAUUGCCGUCCAGUUCCACCCAAAAAAGAGGAAGCAGUAGAUCUUCCUUUUAAUAACUUCCCAAAGUGUUACAAAUAAUAAAAAGGACGCAUAAAUCAUCGCAGGGGCGUCUGAACGUGGACCACGGAAGGAUUUACUCCUCUCAAGCCUGGACUUCAAACCACGCUCUCACUGGCUGCUUCCUUGUAGCCCGGCCCCCAAAUCCUCCCUCUUAUUGGUCCGUCAGGCGGAGUGACGUACGGAAAGGGCGUGGGGUCGGUAGGGGACGGAGUCCAUCAGCGCGCAUGCGCCCUAUGGCGUGAGUGUGUGAUUGACAGCAAGGGGAGCUGCCACAGCGGACUGACAAGCUCCAAGCGACUGGAGGACUAGUAUGCAAAUUUCAGAUGAUUGACACCUACAGUAGAAACCAAUCACGCUGGAGUAGGUUGCUGGUUGGUUGGCAACGAUUUGACGUAAAAUUGACGUUUCAAAAAGCUAACAUCCAAUCAAGGCAACUCAUGCAAAUAAAGGAAGGAGUCACGUUACCAAGGGCCCGGGAGACUUGAGCACGCCCUCACGUGUUCAGUGGUGGAUAUUGCACAGACGCCAGCACGAUCCUCUGAAUAAAUGCAGCAAAAUGCUCAACUCUACAGCUCACCUAGGCCUUUCUCAAACUUCUGUGCCACUGGAAUAUAAAUUAUCUUUUUUAAAAAUCAAGAGUUACGUCGUGCACGUAUAUAAUGGUUUAGUCUAGAAAUCUAUGUAAUGUAACUGUGAACUUCCAGCGCAAAGAAUUUCCUUCUCCAUUCCCACCAACCCACGGAAUCUCUGUCUUUAAAUUAAUCCUUCGUGGAGGAGGCUGUUUCCUACCUUGGUUUCAAAACGACGAGAUGUUCAAAGCCUUUCCCCGGAGAAACCCACCCUAGGCACAGAUGGUCAGUAAAUUUGGCUUCUUCAGCGAAAUUCCGCAUGGCACCGCCAGAUGGCACAAGGAUCGCCUUCCACUCUCCUCACCGCCCCCACCCCUGCAAGUAAUUUAGAAAAAUUGAAAAUCGAACACUUUUAUGUUUUAUAGCUAAGUUAAGUGAGAACG
rnacentral:lncRNA from 1 species